CAGUCGCCACGGUAAUACGGAGGGGGCUAGCGUUGUUCGGAAUUACUGGGCGUAAAGCGCACGUAGGCGGCUUUGUAAGUCAGAGGUGAAAGCCCGGGGCUCAACCCCGGAAUUGCCUUUGAGACUGCAUCGCUUGAAUCCAGGAGAGGUGAGUGGAAUUCCGAGUGUAGAGGUGAAAUUCGUAGAUAUUCGGAAGAACACCAGUGGCGAAGGCGGCUUACUGGCUCAUACUGGACGCUGAGGUGCGAAAGCGUGGGGAGCAAACAGGAUUAGAUACCCGCGUAGUCCCUGUCUCUUAUAC
rnacentral:rRNA from 1 species